rnacentral:rRNA from 1 species
CUACGGGCUGCUGCCGUGAGGAAUAUUGCACAAUGGGGGGAACCCUGAUGCAGCAACGCCGCGUGGAGGAUGACGCAUUUCGGUGUGUAAACUCCUUUUAUAUGUCAAGAAAAUGACGGUAGCAUAUGAAUAAGCACCGGCUAACUCCGUGCCAGCAGCCGCGGUAAUACGGAGGGUGCAAGCGUUACUCGGAAUCACUGGGCGUAAAGGACGCGUAGGCGGGUUGGAAAGUCAGGUGUGAAAUCCUACAGCUUAACUGUAGAACUGCACUUGAAACUUCUAAUCUAGAGUAUGGGAGGGGGAGAUGGAAUUAGUGGUGUAGGGGUAAAAUCCGUAGAUAUCACUAGGAAUACCUAAAGCGAAGGCGAUCUCCUGGAACAUUACUGACGCUAAGGCGUGACAGCGUGGGGAGCAAACAGGAUUAGAUACCCGCGUAGUC